rnacentral:lncRNA from 1 species
CUUUGCCAUAGUACUCCUGAACUUUCCCAGAAGGUGUCGGCACUCGUACCUUUUACUGAAACACCCAAUAAGAUCUCAAGCUUGAACAUGAAGUUACCCUUUUCUUGUACAGUAAUAGCCAUCAUGAUGAUUCAGCUUCCACAGAGUAAAGUCAAGGUACAUUCUGCUUCCCACUGGAGUCACCUUUAUUCCUUGAACAGGAGAAACAGAUAGCUUGGAAGGAUCUUAUGGAGGUAGGUACCCAACCACCUGCUCAAAGCAUGACCAGAAAAGUUCAGAUUACUCAGGUCUACAGCUAGCCUUGUUUUGAAUAGCAACUAGGACGGAGAACCUACAGCUGCUCUAGGUAACAUGUGACGGUACUUAGCCAACUCACACUGAAGUGCUUUUCAGUCUCUGAUUGUCUUAGUGGUUUUCUUGCAGUCUCUUGCUGCACACCUUGAGAAGACUUCUGUAAUUUCUACAUUCCUUCCCUCAUUAGAUAGUUCAGUCAACAGUAGGGUCAUUUUCUCUUCAGGCUGGUCAUACCUGCAUCUCUAAAUCCCUGCUCACAUGUGCUUAACUGCUGUUGGAUGUCUUGUAUCAAGUCCAAAUGAUAAAGGUGCCUUAGCUUCUACCAUUUAUCUCGCUCAGAUAUUCCUGCUUAACCACAGACUCAUAAUUUACAAUUUUCUCAUUAACAGCUUACUUCAGAUGGUGAGAGAAAAACUGAGACACCUGCAUGGAAGAGCAGCAUUCCUCUCCAAGAAGUGCUGAUGAAUCAAAGCUCUUCCCUAACCCAGACUAGGCAACUAUUUCUUCUUUCUGCUGCAAAAACAUUAAUUUUUUUUUUUGUCACAAAGCAGAGAAUCUGUCUACCGUCUGUUUGCUACAGAGUUCAGAAUGGAAAAAUCUUGAUCAUAGGGGAUUAUGAGUUCGUCUGAGUCUGAGGUCCCAUACAGCCAACCCAAAGGCUAUUUACAGUAUCUAUUGUUCUGAACCCCUUACUUGGGAUGACUAGUACCAUGUUCAAGUGAUUUAUUUUUUAAUAGCAUCUUUCUAUUUGUACUGAAAAUUUUCAGAAGUAUAUUCUGUGACUAAUGGAUUCAAGG